GGGUGAAAAGCCCGCUCGCCGGAAGACCAAGGGUUCCUGUCCAACGUUAAUCGGGGCAGGGUGAGUCGACCCCUAAGGCGAGGCCGAAAGGCGUAGUCGAUGGGAAACAGGUUAAUAUUCCUGUACUUGGUGUUACUGCGAAGGGGGGACGGAGAAGGCUAUGUUAGCCGGGCGACGGUUGUCCCGGUUUAAGCAUGUAGGCUGAUUGUCCAGGCAAAUCCGGAUAAUCAAGGCUGAGGUGUGAUGACGAGGCACUACGGUGCUGAAGUAACAAAUGCCCUGCUUCCAGGAAAAGCCUCUAAGCAUCAGGUAACAUUAAAUCGUACCCCAAACCGACACAGGUGGUCAGGUAGAGAAUACCAAGGCGCUUGAGAGAACUCGGGUGAAGGAACUAGGCAAAAUGGUGCCGUAACUUCGGGAGAAGGCACGCUGGUGUGUAGGUGAAGUCCCUGCGGAUGGAGCUGAGACCAGUCGAAGAUACCAGCUGGCUGCAACUGUUUAUUAAAAACACAGCACUGUGCAAACACGAAAGUGGACGUAUACGGUGUGACGCCUGCCCGGUGCCGGAAGGUUAAUUGAUGGGGUUAUCCGUAAGGAGAAGCUCUUGAUCGAAGCCCCGGUAAACGGCGGCCGUAACUAUAACGGUCCUAAGGUAGCGAAAUUCCUUGUCGGGUAAGUUCCGACCUGCACGAAUGGCGUAAUGAUGGCCAGGCUGUCUCCACCCGAGACUCAGUGAAAUUGAACUCGCUGUGAAGAUGCAGUGUACCCGCGGCAAGACGGAAAGACCCCGUGAACCUUUACUAUAGCUUGACACUGAACAUUGAGCCUUGAUGUGUAGGAUAGGUGGGAGGCUUUGAAGCGUGGACGCCAGUCUGCGUGGAGCCAACCUUGAAAUACCACCCUUUAAUGUUUGAUGUUCUAACGUUGGCCCCUGACCGGGGUUGCGGACAGUGUCUGGUGGGUAGUUUGACUGGGGCGGUCUCCUCCCAAAGCGUAACGGAGGAGCACGAAGGUUAGCUAAUCCUGGUCGGACAUCAGGAGGUUAGUGCAAUGGCAUAAGCUAGCUUGACUGCGAGCGUGACGGCGCGAGCAGGUGCGAAAGCAGGUCAUAGUGAUCCGGUGGUUCUGAAUGGAAGGGCCAUCGCUCAACGGAUAAAAGGUACUCCGGGGAUAACAGGCUGAUACCGCCCAAGAGUUCAUAUCGACGGCGGUGUUUGGCACCUCGAUGUCGGCUCAUCACAUCCUGGGGCUGAAGUAGGUCCCAAGGGUAUGGCUGUUCGCCAUUUAAAGUGGUACGCGAGCUGGGUUUAGAACGUCGUGAGACAGUUCGGUCCCUAUCUGCCGUGGGCGCUGGAGAAUUGAGGGGGGCUGCUCCUAGUACGAGAGGACCGGAGUGGACGCAUCACUGGUGUUCGGGUUGUCAUGCCAAUGGCACUGCCCGGUAGCUAAAUGCGGAAGAGAUAAGUGCUGAAAGCAUCUAAGCACGAAACUUGCCCCGAGAUGAGUUCUCCCUGAGACUUUAAGUCUCCUGAAGGAACGUUAAAGACGAUGACGUUGAUAGGCCGGGUGUGUAAGCGCAGCGAUGCGUUGAGCUAACCGGUACUAAUGAACCGUGAGGCUUAACCUU
rnacentral:rRNA from 1 species